rnacentral:rRNA from 1 species
UACGUAGGGUGCGAGCGUUAAUCGGAAUUACUGGGCGUAAAGCGUGCGCAGGCGGUUUUGUAAGCCAGGUGUGAAAUCCCCGGGCUCAACCUGGGAAUGGCAUUUGGGACUGCAAGGCUGGAGUGCGGCAGAGGAGACUGGAAUUCCUGGUGUAGCAGUGAAAUGCGUAGAUAUCAGGAGGAACACCGAUGGCGAAGGCAGGUCUCUGGGCUGACACUGACGCUCAUGCACGAAAGCGUGGGGAGCGAAACAAGGAU